AUAGACGGAGUAUUAGUUGAAAUCAAUUUUAGAGUUGAAAUUCGUAAUUCCCGUCAAUCAAUUGACGAAAUACUCCAGGGACAAAAGCCAAACCGAGUGACCUACAUUCAAUAUGCUUUACUACAUUUCUUCUAGUAGUUUUUUUUUUUUUUAUUGUACACAAGUAAAACUAUAUCGAUUAAAAAACUUGUUGAUUAGGUAACUACAUAUACUUAGAAACUAGUAAAAAAACCUCCUGAUGAUAUAA